ACUCCUACGGGAGGCAGCAGUGGGGAAUAUUGGGCAAUGGGCGCAAGCCUGACCCAGCAACGCCGCGUGAAGGAAGAAGGUCUUCGGAUUGUAAACUUCUGUCAUUGGGGACGAAGGAAGUGACGGUACCCAAUGAGGAAGCCCCGGCUAACUACGUGCCAGCAGCCGCGGUAAUACGUAGGGGGCGAGCGUUGUCCGGAAUUACUGGGCGUAAAGGGUGCGUAGGCGGCGAUGCAAGUCCAUUGUGAAAAGCCCGGGCUUAACCUGGGAGGUGCAGUGGAAACUGCAUGGCUUGAGUGCAGGAGAGGAAAGUGGAGUUCCUAGUGUAGCGGUGAAAUGCGUAGAUAUUAGGAGGAACACCAGUGGCGAAGGCGGCUUUCUGGACUGUAACUGACGCUGAGGCACGAAAGCGUGGGGAGCAAACAGGAUUAGAUACCCUGGUAGUC
rnacentral:rRNA from 1 species